AGAGUUUGAUCAUGGCUCAGAUUGAACGCUGGCGGCAUGCUUUACACAUGCAAGUCGAACGGCAGCGGGGGCUUCGGCCUGCCGGCGAGUGGCGAACGGGUGAGUAAUGCAUCGGAACGUGCCCAGUCAUGGGGGAUAACUACGCGAAAGCGUAGCUAAUACCGCAUACGCCCUGAGGGGGAAAGCGGGGGAUCGCAAGACCUCGCGUGAUAGGAGCGGCCGAUGUCGGAUUAGCUAGUUGGUGGGGUAAAGGCCUACCAAGGCGACGAUCCGUAGCGGGUCUGAGAGGAUGAUCCGCCACACUGGGACUGAGACACGGCCCAGACUCCUACGGGAGGCAGCAGUGGGGAAUUUUGGACAAUGGGGGCAACCCUGAUCCAGCCAUGCCGCGUGAGUGAAGAAGGCCUUCGGGUUGUAAAGCUCUUUCAGACGGAAAGAAAUCGGGUGGGUCAAUACCCUGCCUGGAUGACGGUACUGUCAGAAGAAGCACCGGCUAACUACGUGCCAGCAGCCGCGGUAAUACGUAGGGUGCGAGCGUUAAUCGGAAUUACUGGGCGUAAAGCGUGCGCAGGCGGUUGUGUAAGACAGGUGUGAAAUCCCCGGGCUUAACCUGGGAACUGCGCUUGUGACUGCACGGCUAGAGUACGGCAGAGGGGGGUGGAAUUCCACGUGUAGCAGUGAAAUGCGUAGAUAUGUGGAGGAACACCGAUGGCGAAGGCAGCCCCCUGGGCCGAUACUGACGCUCAUGC
rnacentral:rRNA from 1 species